rnacentral:rRNA from 1 species
GUGGGGAAUAUUGGGCAAUGGGCGCAAGCCUGACCCAGCAACGCCGCGUGAAGGAAGACGCAUCUAUGGUGUGUAAACUGCUUUUGUACGGGAAGAAACACUCCCUCGUGAGGGAGCUUGACGGUACCGUAAGAAUAAGGAUCGGCUAACUCCGUGCCAGCAGCCGCGGUAAUACGGAGGAUCCAAGCGUUAUCCGGAAUCAUUGGGUUUAAAGGGUCCGUAGGCGGUUUAAUAAGUCAGUGGUGAAAGCCCAUCGCUCAACGAUGGAACGGCCAUUGAUACUGUUAGACUUGAAUUACAAGGAAGUAACUAGAAUAUGUAGUGUAGCGGUGAAAUGCUUAGAUAUUACAUGGAAUACCAAUUGCGAAGGCAGGUUACUACUUGUGGAUUGACGCUGAUGGACGAAAGCGUGGGGAGCGAACAGGAUUAGAUACCCUGGUAGUCC